rnacentral:rRNA from 1 species
AGUGAACGCUGGCGGUAGGCCUAACACAUGCAAGUCGAACGGCAGCACAGUAAGAGCUUGCUCUUACGGGUGGCGAGUGGCGGACGGGUGAGGAAUACAUCGGAAUCUACUUUUUCGUGGGGGAUAACGUAGGGAAACUUACGCUAAUACCGCAUACGACCUACGGGUGAAAGCAGGGGAUCUUCGGACCUUGCGCGAUUGAAUGAGCCGAUGUCGGAUUAGCUAGUUGGCGUGGUAAAGGCCCACCAAGGCGACGAUCCGUAGCUGGUCUGGGAGGACGAUCAGCCACACUGGAACUGAGACACGGUCCAGACUCCUACGGGAGGCAGCAGUGGGGAAUAUUGGACAAUGGGCGCAAGCCUGAUCCAGCCAUACCGCGUGGGUGAAGAAGGCCUUCGGAUUGUAAAGCCCUUUUGUUGGGAAAGAAAAGCAGCAGGUUAAUACCCCGCUGUUCUGACGGUACCCAAAGAAUAAGCACCGGCUAACUUCGUG